rnacentral:rRNA from 1 species
UACGGAGGGUGCAAGCGUUGUUCGGAAUCAUUGGGCGUAAAGCGCGUGUAGGCGGCUUGGCAAGUCGGGUGUGAAAUCCCGGGGCUCAACCCCGGAACUGCAUUCGAAACUGCCUCGCUAGAGUCCCGGAGAGGAAGGCGGAAUUCCCGGUGUAGAGGUGAAAUUCGUAGAUAUCGGGAGGAACACCAGCGGCGAAGGCGGCCUUCUGGACGGUGACUGACGCUGAGACGAGAAAGCGUGGGGAGCAAACAGG